UACGUAGGGUGCAAGCGUUAAUCGGAAUUACUGGGCGUAAAGCGUGCGCAGGCGGUUUGUAAGUUUGUCGUGAAAGCCCCGGGACUCAACCUGGGAAUUGCGAUGAAGACUGCAAGGCUUGAAUCUGGCAGAGGGGGGUAGAAUUCCACGUGUAGCAGUGAAAUGCGUAGAGAUGUGGAGGAACACCGAUGGCGAAGGCAGCCCCCUGGGUCAAGAUUGACGCUCGAUGCACGAAAGCGUGGGGAGCAAACAG
rnacentral:rRNA from 1 species